rnacentral:RNase_P_RNA from 1 species
GCCGAUGGCCCACGCAAGUGGGAUCAGGUAAGGGUGAAAGGGUGCGGUAAGAGCGCACCGCGCGGCUGGUAACAGUCCGUGGCACGGUAAACUCCACCCGGAGCAAGGCCAAAUAGGGGUUCAUAAGGUACGGCCCGUACUGAACCCGGGUAGGCUGCUUGAGCCAGUGAGCGAUUGCUGGCCUAGAUGAAUGACUGUCCACGACAGAACCCGGCUUAUCGGUCAGUUUCACUU